ACAGUAUUGGUGCUCACAGAGUGUCUGCAUAGCUCACAGCUGGGGGACUCUGCAGAAAAGACACCCCCAAACCACAUCUCCGGUGUGGUGGGUUUUAUAGAGAAUUCACAUCACCACUUUCUGAUGCAGACACGGGCUGAUCUGUCCCUGGGGAGCCGUGUGUCCACCCCUACCUGCCAGGUGACCUGGGAAGCCCAGCUUCCAGUCGCACAGUGAGGAGCGAUCGGAGCCCUGGCGCACUGCUGGGGAAGACGGAUGGCGGUUCCGCAGCGAGACGAGGGACUGCCAGACGGCGCAGAUUCCAGGUGGACGGGCCAUCUGCAGGCUCAGGCUCGGACAGCUGCACACCCAUGUUCGCAGCAGCAUCAUUCACGACAGCUGAAACGUGGAGACAGCCAAGUGUUCACUGACAGACGAACGGAUAAACAAACGGGGCACAGCCCUACUAUGGACGCCACUCAGCCUUAGAGAGAGUGAAAUUCUAACACAUGCUACAUACAACAUGGAUGAAUCUUGAAAACAUGACAGGAGGCAGUGGUGCAGACGGGCUUCCAAGGUGAGAUCUGGAGAGGCUGCCGUGAACCAUGUGACUAAACAAGGUGCCAGCUGUUUCUCCAAGGGGCUCCUAUCGGCUUCAAAGUCCAUCUUCAUUCCUUAAAGCUUUCUGGUGACAUCCAGAGUCUAGGCAUGUCUCUCUACAUCAUGACUUUCCAGUCAAAGUCUUGGUUGAUAAAACCACAAUCGGAAACUGGCUUUGUGUGUUCGACGAGGGAGAUAGGUGAUCUGAGUCACAGCACCGUAUGUCACUGGCAAUGUUAGUGGCGAAAUGGCACCAGUUGUUACCAGUGAAGUUAAAAAC